rnacentral:RNase_P_RNA from 1 species
AGCGAUGAACCGCCGCCGCGUUAACAGGGCGCGCUAUAGCGAUGGCCCUAUUAAUGAGGAAAGUCCGGGCUCCGCAGGGCAUGAUGCCGGUUAAUGGCCGGGGGUUUCGCCGCUUGCUUCGCAAGAAGGCGGAAUCACAGACAGCGCAACAGAAAGUAUACCGCUGCCUGUAGUAAGGCAGGCAGUAAGGGUGAAAUGGCGGGGUAAGAGCCCGCCGCGGAAUUGGUAACAAUUCCGGCAUGGCAAGCCUCAUCAGGAGCAAAGCUGAACAGCGGUUGAGCGCCCACUCUAUAACCGCGGGUAGGCUGCAUGGAAACUGCCGGCAACGGCAGUUCAAGAUAGAUGGCGGCAGUCCUUCCAUUGGAAGGGAUACAGAAUCCGGCUUACGGUUCAUCGCUUUUU